CCGGUACAGAGUCAAUGUGGAGGCUAUUUACAGGGUGUUACGGUACAGAGUCAAUGUGGAGGCUAUAUACAGGGUGUUACGGUACAGAGUCAAUGUGGAGGCUAUAUACAGGGUGUUACGGUACAGAGUCAAUGUGGAGGCUAUAUACAGGGUGUUACGGUACAGAGUCAAUGUGGAGGCUAUUUACAGGGUGUUACGGUACAGAGUCAAUGUGGAGGCUAUAUACAGGGGUACCAGUACAGAGUCAAUGUGGAGGCUAUAUACAGGGUGUUAUGGUACAGAGUCAAUGUGGAGGCUAUAUACAGGGGUACCAGUACAGAGUCAAUGUGGAGGCUAUAUACAGGGUGUUAUGGUACAGAGUCAAUGUGGAGGCUAUAUACAGGGGAUACCGGUACAGAGUCAAUGUGGAGGCUAUAUACAGGGUGUUAUGGUACAGAGUCAAUGUGGAGGCUAUAUACAGGGGCUACCGGUACAGAGUCAAUGUGGAGGCUAUAUACAGGGGAUACCGGUACAGAGUCAAUGUGGAGGCUAUAUACAGGGUGUUAUGGUACAGAGUCAAUGUGGAGGCUAUAUACAGUGGGUACCGGUACAGAGUCAAUGUGGAGGUUAUAUACAGGGGGUACUGGUACAGAGUCAAUGUGGAGGCUAUAUACAGGGGGUACCAGUACAGAGUCAAUGUGGAGGCUAUAUACAGGGGGUACCGGUACAGAGUCAAUGUGGAGGCUAUAUACAGGGGAUACCAGUACAGAGUCAAUGUGGAGGCUAUAUACAGGGGCUACCGGUACAGAGUCAAUGUGGAGGCUAUAUACAGGGGGUACCGGUACAGAGUCAAUGCGGAGGCUAUAUACAGGGGGUACCGGUACAGAGUCAAUGCGGAGGCUAUAUACAGGGGGUACCGGUACAGAGUCAAUGCGGAGGCUAUAUACAGG
ensembl:lncRNA